UAAGGAAUAUUGGUCAAUGGACGCAAGUCUGAACCAGCCAUGCCGCGUGAAGGAUGAAGGUCCUCUGGAUUGUAAACUUCUUUUAUUUGGGAAGAAACCCAUUUUUUCUAGAGUGGUUGACGGUACCAGGUGAAUAAGCACCGGCUAACUCCGUGCCAGCAGCCGCGGUAAUACGGAGGGUGCAAGCGUUAUCCGGAUUCACUGGGUUUAAAGGGUGCGUAGGUGGGCAGGUAAGUCAGUGGUGAAAUCUCCGGGCUUAACCCGGAAACUGCCAUUGAUACUAUCUGUCUUGAAUACCGUGGAGGUGAGCGGAAUAUGUCAUGUAGCGGUGAAAUGCUUAGAUAUGACAUAGAACACCAAUUGCGAAGGCAGCUCACUACGCGAAUAUUGACACUGAGGCACGAAAGCGUGGGGAUCAAACAGGAUUAGAUACCCUGGUAGUCCACGCCCUAAACGAUGGAUACUCGACAUACGCGAUACACAGUGUGUGUCUGAGCGAAAGCAUUAAGUAUCCCACCUGGGAAGUACGACCGCAAGGUUGA
rnacentral:rRNA from 1 species